rnacentral:tRNA from 1 species
UUAAUUGAAGCCAAAAAGAGGCCUAUCACUGUUAAUGGUAAAACUGAAUUUAGUAUUCCAAUUAAG